rnacentral:lncRNA from 1 species
ACAUUAUAAACUGAUAUUGAUACCAUGUAUUUUAUUUCGUUUGAAAUGGUGUUUUUCCCAUUUGCUAUUUGUAGUAAUUAUUUAUAGAUGGGAACUAGUAUUUAUAUAUAUAUAACUAGUUCGGAUACUUGUUUUGUAACAGUAUGUACUAUUUAUAAAUUUGAUGUUAGGUGCAUAUGGCACGAAGAAAGUUUUGGCGGUUUUUACGGGUGGGGUUUAAUGGUUCUAUAUAAAGUUUGGCAUUUAAAUUGAAGUUGGUCACAUUGGUAUAUAUGCAGUUGCUGCUAUGUUUAUUGUACGUACAGGCUUUGGGGUAUUAGUCGAGGAAAAAGAAACGAUGCGAAAGAGGAACAAUGUUAAAUGUCAUGUAUUUAUAUGUUGUUUCAAUAGAAGAAAUAUGUACAAUAAAGUUAAAUAAAAUAUUGUAUGCGCAAAGAAACUA